rnacentral:rRNA from 1 species
CGGCAGCACGGGAGCAAUCCUGGUGGCGAGUGGCGAACGGGUGAGUAAAGUAUCGGAACGUGCCCAGUCGUGGGGGAUAACGCAGCGAAAGUUGUGCUAAUACCGCAUACGAUCUAUGGAUGAAAGCGGGGGAUCGCAAGACCUCGCGCGAUUGGAGCGGCCGAUAUCAGAUUAGGUAGUUGGUGGGGUAAAGGCUCACCAAGCCGACGAUCUGUAGCUGGUCUGAGAGGACGACCAGCCACACUGGAACUGAGACACGGUCCAGACUCCUACGGGAGGCAGCAGUGGGGAAUUUUGGA